AUGAUGAACCGCCGGCUUGUGCAUCUAAUAGCCCGCGCCACCAUCGGCGGCCGCCAAGCCUACACGCUGCACCCCAUCGACCCAUCGACCUUCUUCCAUGACCGAACGAAACCAAGCGGCGCGGACGAUGAUGGAACGACGAGCAUGGAGGAGUUCCAGCCGCCCCCACCGGCCAUGACCUUCCUCGGACCGGACACGGAACCUCAAGACAUGGAUUUCAUGCCCGUCGGCGAGAAGGGCGUCCUCGCCGUGGACUGCGAGGGUAGCGCCGCCCUCUACUCGGCCUCCUCGCAGACCCUGAGCACCGUCCCCACGCUGCGAGCUCCAAAGGUUGAGCCCGCCUUUUUCCCCGUCGGUGACAGCCGCCUGUACGUCAUGGACCGGAAGCCUCGGCGAGAUCCCCGCCGCUGCUUCGUGGCCCUCAUCCGUGGGCGGGAAUCCGGCCUCCGCUGUCGGAUGGAAUGGCACUGGCGAUCCCUCCCGCCGCCACCCUACCUGGCCCCCACCCGCUGGAACGACGACGACGACGACUACUCUGACUUGGACGAUGACAGGCAAGCCAUGGUAGACGACGACGGCCCCAAGUCCAGUAUGGUGGUGGAGGGCGAGCUGGGCGACAUAGCGGGGCACACGAUGGUCGGCGAUUCGAAGAUCUGGAUAUCCACGGCCCGCGCCGGCACCUACACCUUCGACACGGGCAGCGGCGCGUGGGCGCCCCGGCCGUUGUACUGGACGCUGCCGUUCCGCGGCCGCGCCGAGUUCGUCCCGGAGCACGGCCUCUGGUUCGGCUUCUCGUCACUGAACAACAAGCUGUGCGCGUUCGACCUCGCCGCCGCUUCCGAGACGAGGCCGCCGGUGCUGAGGGGCCAGUGGGAGGACGUCGCGCAGGGCGUGGGGUGGAACCCGGUGGCGUCCUACCUCGUGCCGCUGGGCUCCAGCAGGUUCUUGGUCGCCAAGUUCUUCGAGACGAGAGAGUGGCAGCAGUUCAAAGAUGGCGGCGGGGACUAUGGAAAAUGCGACAACUUUGCGGUGUUUGCCGGCGUGGAGCUGCUGCCAGACAAGGCCGGCAGAGGGCUGAGCAUGAUCAAGCACCGGUCCAAACGUUACUCCCACGUCUGCGCCGCGCCGGAUUGGGUCAUUUGA
rnacentral:rRNA from 1 species